CAGCUACAGGACAGGAGAGAUGAAGGUCAGCGGUGAAGACACAAGCCAAGGAAAAAAAUAAAUGUUUCAUACUGAUGCAAGAAUGGCUCUGCACCAGUAUACAGGCUAGCCAAAAGGAGAAGACCUGGGGGUUUGUCUUGGGUCUGCCAGCAACUCAAAGUGUGACUUAAACCUGCUUGUAAUUUGGUGAUGUUCUUUUACAAAAGGAAGACACUCUGUCUUUCUCUGGCAAGAGAAAAUGUUCUAUCUCCUUAACAGAAAGGUAUAUUAUAAAGACAAGUUCAUCCUAUCCUGGGAUCGGGUCCUGCUUCUAAACAGAACAUGCUGUUCUUCUGAGAAAGAAUACUGAGGAAAGAUCAAUGCUGGUUUUAUGAUCCUAUCAGCUCUUCUGGAUCAAGAUAAGAUCUCUGCCAUUUGCUCUCUGGAUGUGCUGAAUAGUUGACAUUAUGGGACCAGACUUCAUUAUCCUGGAGAUUCUCUAUCCCUGACUUAAACUGGAACCUUAGUCUUCCUCUUUGUUGGUUUACUUCUCGGUUAGGUG